rnacentral:rRNA from 1 species
GACGAACGCUGGCGGCGUGCCUAAUACAUGCAAGUAGAACGCUGAAGGAGGAGCUUGCUCUUCUGGAUGAGUUGCGAACGGGUGAGUAACGCGUAGGUAACCUGCCUGGUAGCGGGGGAUAACUAUUGGAAACGAUAGCUAAUACCGCAUAAGAGUAGAUGUUGCAUGACAUUUACUUAAAAGGUGCAAUUGCAUCACUACCAGAUGGACCUGCGUUGUAUUAGCUAGUUGGUGGGGUAACGGCUUACCAAGGCGACGAUACAUAGCCGACCUGAGAGGGUGAUCGGCCACACUGGGACUGAGACACGGCCCAGACUCCUACGGGAGGCAGCAGUAGGGAAGCUUCGGCAAUGGACGGAAGUCUGACCGAGCAACGCCGCGUGAGGGAAGAAGGGUUUCGGAUCGUAAAGCUCUGUUGUAAGAGAAGAACGAGUGUGAGAGUGGAAAGUUCACACUGUGACGGUAUCUUACCAGAAAGGGACGGCUAACUACGUG